rnacentral:rRNA from 1 species
UACGGAGGGUGCAAGCGUUAUCCGGAUUUACUGGGUUUAAAGGGUGCGUAGGUGGGUAGGUAAGUCAGUGGUGAAAUCUUCGAGCUUAACUCGGAAACUGCCAUUGAUACUAUUUAUCUUGAAUACUCUGGAGGUAAGCGGAAUAUGUCAUGUAGCGGUGAAAUGCUUAGAUAUGACAUAGAACACCAAUUGCGAAGGCAGCUUACUACAUAGUUAUUGAUCACUUGAGGCACGAAAGCGUGGGGAAUCAAACAGGG